UGCUUAUAGCUCAGUCAUUAGAACAUGAGACUCUUAAUCUCAGGGUCCCGGGUUCGAGCCCCAUGUUGGGCAA